rnacentral:rRNA from 1 species
GUACACUCCUGCGGGAGGCAGCAGUGGGGAAUUUUGGACAAUGGGCGAAAGCCUGAUCCAGCAAUGCCGCGUGUGUGAAGAAGGCCUUCGGGUUGUAAAGCACUUUUGUCCGGAAAGAAAUCCUUGGCUCUAAUACAGUCGGGGGAUGACGGUACCGGAAGAAUAAGCACCGGCUAACUACGUGCCAGCAGCCGCGGUAAUACGUAGGGUGCGAGCGUUAAUCGGAAUUACUGGGCGUAAAGCGUGCGCAGGCGGUUUGCUAAGACCGAUGUGAAAUCCCCGGGCUCAACCUGGGAACUGCAUUGGUGACUGGCAGGCUAGAGUAUGGCAGAGGGGGGUAGAAUUCCACGUGUAGCAGUGAAAUGCGUAGAGAUGUGGAGGAAUACCGAUGGCGAAGGCAGCCCCCUGGGCCAAUACUGACGCUCAUGCACGAAAGCGUGGGGAGCAAACAGGAUUAGAUACCCCUGUAGUCCCA